rnacentral:lncRNA from 1 species
AGAGUAUCACACAUAUAAUAUAUACAAACAUACAAACAUCAAUAAUCAACAAAUAUAAUACACACAAAAAGUAGGCUAAACCCGCUGAGGACUACUCCCCAGCAGAGUUACCACUUUCUUUCUGUAGUGAUAAAUUCAUGAACACUAAGCUAUUGGUUAACUCAACGUCAAUAAAACAAGAGUCGCCACCGCGCUUUUAUUGUUUCCAAAGGAAAAUGGAAAAAGU